GCCACGUGGCCAAUGUAUGGUGAGCAACAAUUUAAUGCCUUUGAAAUGGUGAUUGAGUUGGGGUUAGCUGUGGAAAUUAAAAUGGAUUAUAGUAAGGAAAGUGGAAUGAUAGUGAAUUGUGAUGAAAUAGAGAGAGGAAUAAGGUGUUUGAUAGAGCAUGAUAAUGAGAAAAGGAAGAAAGUGAAGGAGAUGAGUGAGAGGAGUAGAAUAGCCUUAAUGAAUGGUUGAUCUUCAUACCGUUAGUUAAGUAAUUUAAUAAAAGAUGUGAUGGGCAAUUUAGCAUAAAAUAAUUGUAAUAAAGUACUUAUUUUAUAUCUAUGGUUAGUUCAUUUCAUAAUCCUAUGUAUAAGUAACUCUCAUACUAUAGGAUCCUUGGAUUCUAUAGCCAAUGAUACAAAACUCCUGGAAUUGAACGGCAACUUCGCUGUCGCUAGUAUUGAAUUUAUUGUGUAGUGGGGCUCCAAAAACAGCUUUUUUG
rnacentral:misc_RNA from 1 species